rnacentral:lncRNA from 11 species
AAAACUUGCUAAUUGGAUAACUCAUUAAACCAUUUGUAACUUUGUGUAAUUGUAACAUGUUGCCAUCACAAAAUUUACUGCUUUGAAACUGAGUCCAUUAUUUUGAAAGCCUCUGUAUUAUUAACCUACAAAUACAAAGUUCUACGAAGCUUACACUCACUAUGUUAUUUUUUAUCCCUUAUUAUUCAACCCCUUUUACAUAAUACUAUAUAACCAUUUUCUUCCACUUGUACACAAUUGUUACAAGUGUGUUGUCGACAGGUUACAAGUUAUUAGCACAGUAAUUUGGUUGCCUACAUAUUUGCUUAACACAGGGUUGUUUCUUAGUGAGAAAACCAGUGACUUCAUGUAAAGCUUGCAUUUAUGUAGUUUUUAAAACCCC